rnacentral:rRNA from 1 species
AUUGAACGCUGGCGGCAGGCCUAACACAUGCAAGUCGAACGAGUGGCGGACGGGUGAGUAAUGUCUGGGAAACUGCCUGAUGGAGGGGGAUAAAUACUGGAAACGGUAGCUAAUACCGCAUACCAUCGGAUGUGCCCAGAGGGGAUUAGCUAGUAGGUGGGGUAAAGGCUCACAUAGGCGACGAUCCCUAGCUGGUCUGAGAGGAUGACCGCCCAAACGGGAACGGAGACACGGUCCAGACUCCUAGGGGGGGCAGCAGGGGGGAAUAUUGCACAAGGGGCGCAAGCCUGAUGCAGCCAUGCGGCGUGGAUGAAGAAGGCCUUGGGGUUGUAAAGUACUUUCAGCGGGGAGGCGUUACCCGCAGAAGAAGCACCGGCUAACUCCGUGCCAGCAGCCGCGGUAAUAC